GACGAACGCUGGCGGCGUGCUUAACACAUGCAAGUCGAACGAAGUGGCGAACGGGUGAGUAAUAUGUGGGUAACCUGCCCUCCUCUUUGGGUUACGCCUUGGAACCGGGGUCUAAUACCGAAUAAAGGGGGAUGGGCUCGCGUCCUAUCGGCUUGUUGGUGGUGUGAUGGCCUACCAAGGCGGUGUCGGGUAGCCGGCCUGGUAGGGUGACCGGGCAUGUUGGGACUGAGAUACGGCCGAGAGACCUACGAGAGGCGGCAGUGGGGGAUAUUGCACAAUGGGCGAAAGCCUGAUGCAGGGACGCCGCGUGGGGGAUGAAGGCUUUCGGGUUGUAAACCUGUUUCGAUAUCGGAAGGGUAGGUAGAGAAGAAGCGCCGGCUAACUACGUGCCAGCAGCCGCGGUAAUUC
rnacentral:rRNA from 1 species